rnacentral:lncRNA from 1 species
CGACAACAUUGUUUUUUGGUCAGCACGUUGGUUAAGGUCAUCCAUUUACAUGAAUUCAUCAUUGUACGGCGUUGGAUCUUCAGUAUACGACAACAUUGUUUUUUUGGUCAGCACAUGUUGGUUGAGGUCAUCCAUUUUUACCAUUUAGGUCAAGGGUUCGUAUUAUCGUAUUAUUCGUAUACCGACUUUAGUCGUUCGAAGUUUUGAGCUUUCUUCUGACGAAAAGUUAUUUUUUAGCCACCAGUUCUUUUAUUCUUCGACUCUGCCC